rnacentral:rRNA from 1 species
GACGAACGCUGGCGGCGUGCCUAAUACAUGCAAGUAGAACGCAGUUGCGAACGGGUGAGUAACGCGUAGGUAACUGCCUCAUAGCGGGGGAUAACUAUUGGAAACGAUAGCUAAUACCGCCUUCUGUGAGAUGGACCUGCGUUGGAUUAGCUAGUUGGUGAGGUAAAGGCUCACCAAGGCGACGAUACAUAGCCGACCUGAGAGGGGGAUCGGCCAGACUGGGAAUGGGGAACGGCCCAGGCUCCUACUGGGAGCAGCAGUAGGGAAUCUUCGGCAAUGGACGGAAGUCUGACCGAGCAACGCCGCGGGAGUGGAGGAGGGUUUCGGGUCGGAAAGGUCUGUUGUUAGAGAAGCGGUAACUAACGAGAAAGGGACGGCUAACUACGUGCCAGCAGCCGCGGUAAUAC